rnacentral:rRNA from 1 species
UACGUAGGGUGCGAGCGUUGCUCGGAAUCACUGGGCGUAAAGCGCACGUAGGCGGCUUUUUAAGUCAGAGGUGAAAUCCUGGAGCUCAACUCCAGAACUGCCUUUGAUACUGAGAGGCUUGAGUCCGGGAGAAGUGAGUGGAACUGCGAGUGUAGAGGUGAAAUUCGUAGAUAUUCGCAAGAACACCAGUGGCGAAGGCGGCUCACUGGCCCGGUACUGACGCUGAGGUGCGAAAGCGUGGGGAGCAAACAGG